AACAAUUUGCAUACUAUCCUGAACAUGCUUGAUCUUGGCUGAUCCCAGAAGCUAAGCAGGGUCAGGCCUGGUUAGUACUUGGAUGGGACACUGCCUGGGAAUACUGGGUUUUGAUU